ACACAACCUUCCCUGCUGCAGUAACAAUCAUUUUGCCCACAUUAAGCAACACUGGAAUAUUAUGAUCCCCACAAAUACCCCCAUUUUCUAAAUCAUAUCCCAAACAAUUCCAAGUUUGAUAUCCCUUCCAAUAUUAUCUCCAUAGAACCUCCAGUAAAUCACCUCCUUCCUCAGCACGGCCUUUGCCCUUUUAUUGUUAAUAAUGUCACUCGGAGACUGAUGCACCAUCACAUAAAAACUCACAUUUCUCCCAAUUUGCUUCCUGUCCCGUUAUAAAUCCAAAUCCAAACUCAUAAAGACAGGAAGGCUGACUGACGUUCACAUAAACUAAUCACCCUCUGUGUUCCCAUUUGAGCGACAGGCACUGCAGCCAAUGACAGCAGGGGUCAGUGUGAAGUCUGAGCUACGAUAGGCUGGAGGAAAUCGGCCCAUGAUCAGCCCCUCCUUUUCCGCUCCAUCGCCAUGGCGGAGAUCAGCGAGUCGCUUCUGUCGGUGUCGCCGGCCUCGGCGCCCACAAGGACGGGUGUGAUUCCCCUUCGCGCCCCGGUGGGUCUGUUUCGGUGCCGUCUGUGGUGGCUGACGAAACAUGCUUUGACAGAGAGCGAGCGAGGAACAAUGACUACAACUCCCAGAAGGCCCCACUGAUGACGUUGUGGUGUUGUUUCGGGCUUUCCACCACAGAUGUAAGGCUCAAUGGUCUAUAAUUAUCGGGACUAUCCCUACUACCCUUUUUGAACAAGGGGACAACAUUCGCCUCCCUCCAAUACUCCGGUACAAUUUCCGUGGACAAUGAGGACAUAAUGAUCUUCGCCAGAGGCUCAGCAAUCUAUUUCCUUGCCUCGGAUGCAGAACUGGGAAGCGCAGAUGGAGUUCAACACAGAUGAAGGGGUUCAUUUCUGCAGGUCAAAUUUGAACACAGAAUAUAAUAUUAAUGUGAUCUUACUCCUGACGCCAGUCCCAGGACCCAACCCAUUUACAGACCCGGAGCAUAACGGGAGCAGAUCCUCAGCCACUGGUUUUCAUCCCCAGUCGCAAAGUAAGGAUAAAGUUUCCGUGUGAAUUUAUUCCCAGUGAAGGUGUGGAGAUGGGACUUGGUUUCCGCGUUGUAAAAUGAAACUGUCCCGGACUCGUAACUGAGAUAAACUCCCACCCUCCCGGGGAUGGGACCGGCAGCGAGACGGGUCUCGGGGGAGGUACAAACCUUCAUCAUGUUAUUAUUCCGAAGUAACACGUCAUAAUACCGCCCAAUGACCCUGAAUCCUGUCUCCGGACUCAGUCCGACUCCUCUCUUCCCCUCCAACGACCCUGCGGUGACUCCUAAAUAACAGUCCCGAUUCCCCGUCACCUCCACCUCCCAGUCAUGUCUCCCAGCACACAACCCUGAUUUGUGAAUCUCUUCCCGGUGUCAGGGAGCUCUCUCCGGGUCCGGGUACAUCUCACACUCUUCCGAUCCUCAGACACCUCGAGAUCCGGAUUCGCCAUUUCCACAUCCAGGGUGACAGAGACUGGGGGGAGAAGCAGAGAAUUAGAGAGUCCCCGGGGAUCGGGGGGAGACUCGGGCAGCGCGUUUCCGGGGAUCGGGGAGAGACUCAGGCAGCGCGUCCCCGGGGAUCGGGGAGAGACUCAGGCAGCACUGCCCCAGAGAUUGGGGGAAUACUCGGGCAAAGUGUCCCCAGGACCAGUGGAAAGCCCGUGGGCCUUCGGCGCAGUCGGGUUGCCGAUCGGCAACCUUUCCCAGGGAAGCAUGUGGGCAACUAAUAUCUCUCCAAUAUCUUUCUGCUGGAUGGAGAGCAGAGAUUUCCUGAUCAAACAGACACAAAAUCCUGGAGGAACCGAGCGCGUCAGGCAGCAUGUGUGGAGAGAGAUGGACAGUCCACGUUUCAGGUCGACAUCUUCCCUCAAGAGCAGAAAUGAAUAGGGGAGAGAGACAGCAGAAAUGAGUGUGGGAAAGGGGUGGAUUAAGAUGGGAAGGGGGUGAGUGAAUGGAUUUAAACAGGUCGCAGAGGCUCUUCGGCCCAACUUGUUUGUGCCGACCAGCUUGCUUUAAUGAGCUGGUCCCAUUUGCCCAUUAUUCCUUUCCACCUUUGUUAUCCACGUCCCUGGCAAGAUGUAUUUUAAAACAUUGUCACUGUACCCAAUUCUACAGCUGAUCAAGAGCCCGGUGUACUAUACCAUGAAUUUUAGUGUCACCCACAAACCUACUAACUGUGUCAGCAACGUUCUGAUACAAAUCAUUAACAUGAAUGACAAACAACCCGUCCCCAGCACCGACCUCUGCAGGUCACAGGCCUCCAGUCCUCUGUGUUUAAGACACUUGGACAGACACUUCAACAGGCAAGGCAUGAGAGAGACUGACCUAAUGUUGGCCAAUGGGAUGAAUGUAGAUGGGUAAAUAGGUCAGCACGGAGGUGAUGGGUCAAAGGGAACAUUUCUAUGCUGUACGCAACGCCAUGCUGAUAAUUCCAAAUGGACAGUGACCCCUGACCUUUAACUCCUCAGACAGGGGAAACAUCCUCCCUGUAUCCUGCCUGUUGAUCCCUGAGAGAAUUUUGUAUU